rnacentral:rRNA from 1 species
GACGAACGCUGGCGGCGUGCCUAACACAUGCAAGUCGAACGAGGGGCGGACGGGUGCGUAACACGUGGGAACCUACCCAUCAGAGGGGGAGAACACUUGGAAACAGCUGCUAAUACCGCAUACUGAUUGAUGGACCCGGGGUGCAUUAGCUAGUUGGUGGGGUAAAGGCUCACCAAGGCCACGAUGCAUAGCCGACCUGAGAGGGUGAUCGGCCACACUGGAACUGAGACACGGUCCAGACUCCUACGGGAGGCAGCAGUGGGGAAUAUUGCACAAUGGGCGCAAGCCUGAUGCAGCCAUGCCGCGUGUAUGAAGAAGGCCUUCGGGUUGUAAAGUACUUUCAGCGGGGAGGCGUUACCCGCAGAAGAAGCACCGGCUAACUCCGUGCCAGCCGCCGCGGUAAUUC